rnacentral:lncRNA from 1 species
UCUCAACCUCUUAGCUCCCAAAAACACUUGCCCAUACACUCCUAAGCACAGCCCCACGAUCACAAGUAUCAAAAACAGAAGAUCAAAGUCAAAAAUCAAGAAAUCAAAGUAAGAAAAGGUAUAAAAUCCCAAAAAUUAGAAAUCCUUCGAUUCGAUGUUAAUUGAUGCAAUUGAUUGUUUAAAGUUGUGUAAUAGGUAGUCUAUUAAUUUUCUGGGUUGUAAAAACACAGACCCAUAACAUCAAAGUGCACGAAUUUGAAGAUUUGAGCAAGUUGGAAAAACCGAAUUCUGUGAUUUUUCAUCAAAUGUCAGGGCUUAUAACUCUUUGGUCGAUCAUGCGUUUUGUUGUUUAAAAGUUGUUAUAUGUAGC